CUAGACGUUGCUUGUACCAAUAUGGCUGUCAUUUUGGCGUUCACGUGCCCGCGUGUCAUCGCGAUCCGUGCCUGACCGUGCCCGAAACCCGUCAUUCUCCGCGAUGCCUUGUGCUUGAGACGUCCCGUGGUCGGGAUGCUGUGCGCGAGAAGCGGAACAGUUGCCCGUCACCAGCCAUGUUCAUGAAGUGUCUUUUUGUUGUGACAAUCCUGUGAUAUAACACUCUCAUGCAACGUGCUGUCUCGCUGAAGCGAUCUCGCGCGCGCAUCGAUAUAUCUUGGUUUUUUCAUAUGAUUUUUUCAUCUUCUUGCCUCGUUUUCUCGUCGCGUCUUAUUUCGCCUCGUCUCGUUUCGUUUCGUUUCGUUUCGUUUCGUUUCGUUUCGUUUCGUUUCGUUUCGUUUCGUUUCGUCCUGUUCUGUUCCGUUCCGUUCUGUUCCGUUUUGUUCCGUCCCGACCGUCUCAUCUCAUUUCGUUCCAUCUCGUUUCGCCCCGCCUCAUAUCGUCUCAUUUCGUCUCUCGUCCCGUCCUGUCCCAUCCCGUCCCGCGUCUCGUAAGAAAUCACUUGCCUGUGUUUGCUGCUAUCAAGUAAAGAUUAAAUGAAAGGUCGGUAGCAACAGAGGUGAGGCAGGGUGGCGCUCAAAGGAGGGAUGAAUGGAACGGCAGCGCUACGACACAGCGUCGGGGCUGGUGCAGGCACCAUCAGUGGUGGAGCCAUCGACCCAGCGCCCAUCGCCACUUUGGUCGUAUACAAGGAUGAUGCUGGGUUUGGAAUGAAAGUUUCUGGUGACAAUCCAGUCUACGUUCAGUCCGUAAAAGAAGGUCUGCUUGAAAGUUCCAUGUUUGGAUUAAUAUUUGCAU